rnacentral:rRNA from 1 species
UUAAGUUAAUAAGGGCGCACGGUGGAUGCCUUGGCACUAGAAGCCGAUGAAGGACGUGACUAACGACGAAAUGCUUUGGGGAGCUGUAAGUGAGCAAUGAUCCAGAGAUGUCCGAAUGGGGGAACCCGGCAGGUAAUGCCUGUCACUCAUUACUGUUAAGGUAAUGUAGAGGAAGACGCAGUGAACUGAAACAUCUAAGUAGCUGUAGGAAGAGAAAGCAAAAGCGAUUGCCUUAGUAGCGGCGAGCGAAACGGCAAGAGGGCAAACCGAAGAGUUUACUCUUCGGGGUUGUAGGACUGCAACGUGGACUUAAAGAUUAUAGAAGAACUACCUGGGAAGGUAGGCCAAAGAGAGUAAUAGCCUCGUAUUCGAAAUAGUCUUUAUACCUAGCAGUAUCCUGAGUACGGCGAGACACGAGAAAUCUCGUCGGAAUCUGGGAGGACCAUCUCCCAACCCUAAAUACUCUCUAGUGACCGAUAGUGAACCAGUACCGUGAGGGAAAGGUGAAAAGCACCCCGGGAGGGGAGUGAAAUAGAACCUGAAACCGUGUGCCUACAACAAGUUCGAGCCCGUUAAUGGGUGAGAGCGUGCCUUUUGUAGAAUGAACCGGCGAGUUACGAUAUGAUGCGAGGUUAAGUUGAAGAGACGGAGCCGUAGGGAAACCGAGUCUUAAUAGGGCGCAUUAGUAUCAUGUCGUAGACCCGAAACCAUGUGACCUACCCAUGAGCAGGUUGAAGGUGAGGUAAAACUCACUGGAGGACCGAACCAGGGCACGUUGAAAAGUGCUUGGAUGACUUGUGGGUAGCGGAGAAAUUCCAAACGAACUUGGAGAUAGCUGGUUCUCUCCGAAAUAGCUUUAGGGCUAGCGUCGAUGUUAAGUCUCUUGGAGGUAGAGCACUGUUUGGGUGAGGGGUCCAUCCCGGAUUACCAAUCUCAGAUAAACUCCGAAUGCCAAUGAGAUAUAAUCGGCAGUCAGACUGCGAGUGCUAAGAUCCGUAGUCGAAAGGGAAACAGCCCAGACCACCAGCUAAGGUCCCAAAAUAUAUGUUAAGUGGAAAAGGAUGUGGGGUUGCACAGACAACUAGGAUGUUAGCUUAGAAGCAGCUAUUCAUUCAAAGAGUGCGUAAUAGCUCACUAGUCGAGUGACCCUGCGCCGAAAAUGUACCGGGGCUAAAACAUAUUACCGAAGCUGUGGAUACCUUUAUAGGUAUGGUAGGAGAGCGUUCUAUGUGCGAAGAAGGUGUACCGUGAGGAGUGCUGGAGCGCAUAGAAGUGAGAAUGCCGGUAUGAGUAGCGAAAGACAGGUGAGAAUCCUGUCCACCGUAAGACUAAGGUUUCCAGGGGAAGGCUCGUCCGCCCUGGGUUAGUCGGGACCUAAGGAGAGACCGAAAGGUGUAUCCGAUGGACAACAGGUUGAUAUUCCUGUACUAGAGUAUAUAGUGAUGGAGGGACGCAGUAGGCUAACUAAACCAGACGAUUGGAAGUGUCUGGCCAAGCAGUGAGGUGUGAUAUGAGUCAAAUGCUUAUAUCUUUAACAUUGAGCUGUGAUGGGGAGCGAAGUUUAGUAGCGAAGUUAGUGAUGUCACACUGCCGAGAAAAGCUUCUAGCGUUAAUUAUACUCUACCCGUACCGCAAACCGACACAGGUAGUCGAGGCGAGUAGCCUCAGGUGAGCGAGAGAACUCUCGUUAAGGAACUCGGCAAAAUGGCCCCGUAACUUCGGGAGAAGGGGCGCUGACUGAUGGUCAGCCGCAGUGAAUAGGCCCAAGCAACUGUUUAUCAAAAACACAGCUCUCUGCUAAAUCGUAAGAUGAUGUAUAGGGGGUGACGCCUGCCCGGUGCUGGAAGGUUAAGAGGAGUGCUUAGCGUAAGCGAAGGCAUGAAUUGAAGCCCCAGUAAACGGCGGCCGUAACUAUAACGGUCCUAAGGUAGCGAAAUUCCUUGUCGGGUAAGUUCCGACCCGCACGAAAGGCGUAAUGAUUUGGGCACUGUCUCAACGAGAGACUCGGUGAAAUUUUAGUACCUGUGAAGAUGCAGGUUACCCGCGACAGGACGGAAAGACCCCAUGGAGCUUUACUGCAGUUUGAUAUUGAGUAUCUGUACCACAUGUACAGGAUAGGUAGGAGCCUAUGACCUCGGGACGCCAGUUUCGAGUGAGGCGUUGUUGGGAUACUACCCUUGUGUUAUGGCUACUCUAACCCAGAUAGGUUAUCCCUAUCGGAGACAGUGUCUGACGGGCAGUUUGACUGGGGCGGUCGCCUCCUAAAAGGUAACGGAGGCGCCCAAAGGUUCCCUCAGAAUGGUUGGAAAUCAUUCGCAGAGUGUAAAGGUAUAAGGGAGCUUGACUGCGAGAGCUACAACUCGAGCAGGGACGAAAGUCGGGCUUAGUGAUCCGGUGGUUCCGUAUGGAAGGGCCAUCGCUCAACGGAUAAAAGCUACCCUGGGGAUAACAGGCUUAUCUCCCCCAAGAGUUCACAUCGACGGGGAGGUUUGGCACCUCGAUGUCGGCUCGUCGCAUCCUGGGGCUGUAGUCGGUCCCAAGGGUUGGGCUGUUCGCCCAUUAAAGCGGCACGCGAGCUGGGUUCAGAACGUCGUGAGACAGUUCGGUCCCUAUCCGUCGCGGGCGUAGGAAAUUUGAGAGGAUCUGCUCCUAGUACGAGAGGACCAGAGUGGACUUACCGCUGGUGUACCAGUUGUUCUGCCAAGAGCAUCGCUGGGUAGCUAUGUAGGGAAGGGAUAAACGCUGAAAGCAUCUAAGUGUGAAGCCCACCUCAAGAUGAGAUUUCCCAUGAUUUUAUAUCAGUAAGAGCCCUUGAAGAUGAUCAGGUUGAUAGGUUAGAAGUGGAAGUGUGGUGACACAUGUAGCGGACUAAUACUAAUAGCUCGAGGACUUAUCCAA